rnacentral:rRNA from 1 species
AUACGAAGGGUGCGAGCGUUAAUCGGAAUUACUGGGCGUAAAGCGCGCGUAGGCGGUUGGAUAAGUCGGAUGUGAAAGCCCCGGGCUCAACCUGGGAAUUGCAUUCGAAACUGUCCGGCUAGAGUAUGGUAGAGGGAAGCGGAAUUCCACAUGUAGCGGUGAAAUGCGUAGAUAUGUGGAGGAACACCAGUGGCGAAGGCGGCUUCCUGGACCAAUACUGACGCUGAGGUGCGAAAGCGUGGGGAGCAAACAGAAUUAGAAACCCUAGUAGUCC